rnacentral:rRNA from 1 species
AGUGAACGCUGGCGGUAGGCCUAACACAUGCAAGUCGAACGGCAGCACAGUAAGAGCUUGCUCUUACGGGUGGCGAGUGGCGGACGGGUGAGGAAUACAUCGGAAUCUACUUUUUCGUGGGGGAUAACGUAGGGAAACUUACGCUAAUACCGCAUACGACCUACGGGUGAAAGCAGGGGAUCUUCGGACCUUGCGCGAUUGAAUGAGCCGAUGUCGGAUUAGCUAGUUGGCGGGGUAAAGGCCCACCAAGGCGACGAUCCGUAGCUGGUCUGAGAGGAUGAUCAGCCACACUGGAACUGAGACACGGUCCAGACUCCUACGGGAGGCAGCAGUGGGGAAUAUUGGACAAUGGGCGCAAGCCUGAUCCAGCCAUACCGCGUGGGUGAAGAAGGCCUUCGGGUUAUAAAGCCCUUUUGUCGGGAAAGAAAAGCAGCAGGUUAAUACCCCGCUGUUCUGACGGUACCCAAAGAAUAAGCACCGGCUAACUUCGUG